AUCCUGGCUCCGGGGUGCUCUGGGAACAUUUAACGGGCUAGCCCCUCCGGUGGCGCUCCGGUCUGCCGGUGCGGGCGAAAUUAAACCGGAUGCGACGCUCGUAAAAUCUCACGGACGACGCGCUUGCGGACGCGGGUUCAACUCCCGCCGCCUCCACUU
rnacentral:tmRNA from 1 species